rnacentral:rRNA from 1 species
GGGGAAUAUUGGACAAUGGGCGAAAGCCUGAUCCAGCCAUGCCGCGUGUGUGAAGAAGGUCUUCGGAUUGUAAAGCACUUUAAGUUGGGAGGAAGGGCUGCAAGUUAAUACCUUGUAGUUUUGACGUUACCAACAGAAUAAGCACCGGCUAACUUCGUGCCAGCAGCCGCGGUAAUACGAAGGGUGCAAGCGUUAAUCGGAAUUACUGGGCGUAAAGCGCGCGUAGGUGGUUUGUAAGUCAGGGGUGAAAUCCCACGGCUCAACCGUGGAACUGCCUUUGAUACUGCUUAGCUUGAAUCCGGGAGAGGGUGGCGGAAUUCCAGGUGUAGGAGUGAAAUCCGUAGAUAUCUGGAGGAACAUCAGUGGCGAAGGCGGCCACCUGGACCGGUAUUGACGCUGAGGUGCGAAAGCGUGGGGAGCAAACA